CCUACGGGUGGCAGCAGUGAGGAAUAUUGGUCAAUGGCCGGAAGGCUGAACCAGCCAUGCCGCGUGAAUGUCAGUGCCCUAUGGGCGUUAAACUUCUUUCGUGCGGGAGCAAUAAUGGUCACGUGUGGCCAGACGAGAGUACCGUACGAAUAAGCAUCGGCUAACUCCGUGCCAGCAGCCGCGGUAAUACGGGGGAUGCAAGCGUUAUCCGGAUUUAUGGGGUUUAAAGGGUGCGUAGGCUGGGAGGUAAGUCAGCUGGGAAAUGCCCCCGCUCAACGGGGUGAAGUGCCAUUGAUACUGCCUUGCUGGAAUGCGGAUGCCGUGGGAGGAAUGUGUGGUGUAGCGGUGAAAUGCAUAGAUAUCACACAGAACACCGAUUGCGAAGGCAUCUCACGAAUCCGCGAUUGACGCUGAUGCACGAAAGCGUGGGUAUCAAACAGGAUUAGAUACCCGAGUAGUC
rnacentral:rRNA from 1 species